rnacentral:rRNA from 1 species
AGUGAACGCUGGCGGUAGGCCUAACACAUGCAAGUCGAACGGCAGCACAGGAGAGCUUGCUCUCUGGGUGGCGAGUGGCGGACGGGUGAGGAAUACAUCGGAAUCUGCCCAGUCGUGGGGGAUAACGUAGGGAAACUUACGCUAAUACCGCGUACGACCUUCGGGUGAAAGAGGGGGAUCGCAAGACCUCUCGCGAUUGGAUGAGCCGAUGUCGGAUUAGCUAGUUGGCGGGGUAAUGGCCCACCAAGGCGACGAUCCGUAGCUGGUCUGAGAGGAUGAUCAGCCACACUGGAACUGAGACACGGUCCAGACUCCUACGGGAGGCAGCAGUGGGGAAUAUUGGACAAUGGGCGCAAGCCUGAUCCAGCCAUACCGCGUGGGUGAAGAAGGCCUUCGGGUUGUAAAGCCCUUUUGUUGGGAAAGAAAUCUUUCAGGCUAAUACCCUGGGAGGAUGACGGUACCCAAAGAAUAAGCACCGGCUAACUUCGUG